GCAUUAGUAGCUCAGUUCCAGAGCGUCGGUUUUGUAAGCCGAACGUCGGAGGUUAAAAUCCCCCCUACUGCU
rnacentral:tRNA from 1 species